CAAAAGAUUCAAUGUCAACCGUCCUAAGUGUUGCAAGGUACACAGAUGAGAAUUACCAAAUGUUCCUUCAAAUAGUGCACUCAUUUGAAUUUGAAGAAGGUCUUGAGAAGAGUUUACCACAAAAUUUAUUUAGAAUUCUUCAGGGUCUUAAUAAGGAAACUGUUACACUUGCCCUACAAAAAUCCAAAACAGAAGGCUUAAAAAAAGGACUGGAAUGGUUGAAGAUAGAAAAAAAUUUAUCUGUUUUAAAAACAGCAUUUGUGAACCAGACAGAUUCUCAAAACUGGGAAUCGGCCAAAUCCCUGUUUCCUCAGGAAUCCUCCAGGUUGAGGGACUUUGCAGAUGUAACAUUAAAGAAGAAAAGUCUACCAACUGGAUUUGUGGAGUUCUGUUCACAAGCUAGGGAUCCAUUGAUGCAUCCCACUCAAUUUACUGUAAAUUUUGAUAUUAAAAUAAACAACAAAACAUGCUCCGGAAACACAGUAGAAAGUAUUAUUUGUAAAUAUAAAAAGAAAAUUCUAAUUGAGUUAGAAAAAAACAAGAAUAACAUAAUUGCAGAGCACUUUGAACAGACGUCAGUUGACUCUUUGUGUACACAAUCAGAUAGCACCAUUGAUACCCUUGACAAUACUCAAGUGUCCAUGUCUGACACACAAAUAACACAUAUUCCAGAAACUCAAAUGUCACUCAAUCUUUCUGAGCAGUAAUUGAUUCAUUAACUAAUUUACUGGUUUUAAUACCCAUCAAAAUUCAAAAUCAAAUAUUAAUCGCUAUGUUUGUCACUCUUUUUUCAACUGUCCUUACAUAACCAUGAACAUUUAUUAUUAUUUUUUUAAUUUAUUGACCAAGUUUACACAUCAUUUAUAACCUCUAGAAAUAUUGAGUUGAAUUGCAUAGAGAAGUAUGCACAUGCAUUUAAAUCCUUCAUUAUACCACGGCUUUAAAAAGCGGAGGUAUAUAGUGAUGGGGAAGUCUGUCCUUCCGUCCGUCUGUCCCGUAUACUUUGUAUCUGCAACUCCUCCUUAACCACUUAUCUGAAUGAUAUGAAACUUUCUCAGAUUCUUAAUAAUAUAAUGCCAUUGUGCACCUCCUAUUUUGUUUUUGUUCAAAAUCAUUUUUUGGGUUUCUAUUUAAAAGAACAUGGACUUUGCCAUUGCCUAAAAAUAGGGGGUACCAAUGUUGUAUCCGCAACUCCUCCUGAACCACUUAUUAUGAUUUAAUGAAACAAAUCCCAGAUUCUUGAUGAUAUAAUGCUAUUGUGCACCUCCUAUUUUGUUUUUGUUCAAAAUCAUUUUAGGGGUUUCCAUUUCAAAAACAUGGACUUUUCUAUUGCCUAAAAAUAAGGGGUACCCAUGUUGUAUCUGCAACUUCUCCUAAACCACUUGUUAUAAUUUAAUGAAUCUUUCUCAGAUUCUUAAUGAUGUAAUGCCAUUGUGCACCUUCUAUUUUAUUUUUGUUCAAAAUCAUUUUUGGGGUUUCUAAUUGAAAAAACAUGAACUUUGCCAUUGCCCUUAAAAUGGGGUACUCAUUUUGAAUCUGCAACUCCUCCUAAACCACUAAUCACAAUUUAAUGAAACUUUCUGAGAUUCUUAAUCAUAUAAUGCCAUUGUGCACCUCCUGUUUGAUUUUUGGUCAAAUUGGUUUUUGGGGUUUCCAAUACCAAAACAUGAACUUUGCUAGGAGCGGGGUAUAAGUUUGUGAGCUCUGAUCACAGUUCCUCUAGUUUAAUUUCUAAAUAGUGACAAUUUAUGUUCAAUCAUUUAUGAUUUAAAACUAUGGCAAGUUAGUACUGCAGUAACAGAGUUACAAAUUUUUCUUGGAUAUGUGUGACAAAUAUUCAGACAAUUUUGUAUAUGCACUGUUAUUGAUUCUUAAAGACAUGUGAUUCAGUAAAGAACCCAUGGUGAAACUUUCUUUAAUUUUUUAAUUGAAAGUCAAUUUUGAUGUGCACUUUUGAAAUAUGAAAAAAUAUAUAUCUCUAGGAAUUGCAUGUUUCAUCUAAAACUCAAAAUUUCAUACUUAAAUGUUUUUCUCAAAAAAAUUAACAGAAGUAAAUAUUGUCAUGGUUAUCAAUGGUGAGUCAAUCUGUUUUUUGGUUUAUAAUUUUAAUAGUACACAUGUAUAAGUGACCCAUAGAUAUUUGUUCUCUGCACUACAGGGGCAUGUAAAAAAUUUGAAACGGUAAUUGUUUUGUGCAAUUUUGGUAUAAGAUUCUUGAAGUAAUAUAAGGUCAAUAAACAAUACAGAUUCACUAAAUUUUAAUGUUGUCUACCUCAACAUUCAAAAUGUUGGUUUUUAUCAAAAAUGUUUUAUUUACUAGAAACUUCAGAGUUGCAGUACAUAAUAAAGAGAAUAACCAUACAUUGUCUCAAAAUAUAAAGUUUAUUUGUACUCGCCUCAAAACAGGAUGAAAUGCUUGGGACAGACUCGCAUUCAUCCUGUUUCUAAGCCUUUUACUUAUAAAUAAGUUUUAUACUUUGAGACAAUGUAUGGUUAUUCUAUAUGUCAUUGUGAAGUUAUUUCUGCUGUCAAUAAAAAAUAUAUGCAUAACUUAUAUUUUUCUCGAUAAUUUAAUAUAUCAUGAUAAAAAAAUAUUACAAGUCUUCUGAUAAUAACUCUCAAAUAGUUAUUAUUGCAAAAAUACUGCAUUAACUUAAAAUGAAUUUUAGCUUCACUGCAAGUGUAUCAUAUGCCCUUUAAUGUGAUAAGCAAGCUUAAUAAGUGAAAAAAAAACUGUGAUAGUUAAAGAUAAUGACAUUUAUUAUCAUUAAAGAGAUUUUUACUUUUUUUAGAAAGUGAUAUAUGAGUGUAUCAGAGAUUUUUACUUUUUUUUAGAAUGUGAUAUACGAGUGUAUCUUAUGCCCUUUAAUGUGAUAAGCAAGGUUAAUAAGUGAAAAAAAACUGUGAUAGUUAUAAAUAAUGACAUUUAUUAUCAUUAAAGAGAUUUUUACUUUUUUUUAGAAUGUGAUAUAUGAGUGUAUCAUAUGCCCGUUAAUGUGAUUAACAAGGUUAAUUAGUGAAAAAAAACAGAAACUGUGAUAGUUAUAAAUAAUGACAUUUAUUAUCAUUAAAGAGAUUUUUACUUUUUUUAGAAUGUGAUAUAUGAGUGUAUCAUAUGCCCUUUAAUGUGAUAAGCAAGGUUAAUUAGUGAAAAAAAACACAGAAACUGUGAUAGUUAUAAAUAAUGACAUUUAUUAUCAUUAAAGAGAUUUUUACUUUUUUUUAGAAUGUGAUAUAUGUAAUGGUAUGUAUAUAUAUAUACAUAUGGAUCAUGGUUAUUUUUGUUAUAAAUGGUCUAAAAUUUCUAUAUAUGUAUGUUUGAUAAGUUUUGCCCCAAUUGUUAUAAAUAAAAAACAAAUUGAAUAGAGGUUAAAAUAAAAUUGAUGAUCUGACAAUGAGUUUUGUAAAACAUUCUUUCAAUUUUUUACCAUCAGACUUAUUUAAACAUUUGAAACUUGAUUUCAACUGAUAUAAAUAGUAGUUUCCUUAAUUAACUUGACAAACAAAUUAAUAAAAGAAAGGCAUUUUGAAAUCAGAACCACAACUGCCAUGAAUUGAUGUUAUAACUUGCUAUUCUCUUAUUUUAUAUAUUGAAUGUAACAAAAUUAUGUUUUAUUAUGUAAUAAAGUAAAUGUCUUCUG